rnacentral:rRNA from 1 species
ACGAACGCUGGCGGCGUGCUUAACACAUGCAAGUCGAGCGGAAAGGCCCUUCGGGGUACUCGAGCGGCGAACGGGUGAGUAACACGUGAGUAACCUGCCCCAGACUUUGGGAUAACCCUCGGAAACGGGGGCUAAUACCGGAUACGACACAGCUUCGCAUGGGGUCUGUGUGGAAAGUUUUUCGGUUUGGGAUGGGCUCGCGGCCUAUCAGCUUGUUGGUGGGGUGAUGGCCUACCAAGGCGACGACGGGUAGCCGGCCUGAGAGGGCGACCGGCCACACUGGGACUGAGACACGGCCCAGACUCCUACGGGAGGCAGCAGUGGGGAAUAUUGCACAAUGGGCGGAAGCCUGAUGCAGCGACGCCGCGUGAGGGAUGACGGCCUUCGGGUGGUAAACCUCUUUCAGCAGGGACGAAGCGUAAGUGACGGUACCUGCAGAAGAAGCGCCGGCCAACUACGU